CCUCCUUUGCCCUCCAUUUAGGAAUGAACUUUUUUUCUCAAAACUCAUUGUCUCUAUGCAGAAUGCCAUUUCUAGCAAGAAUAAGCAUUCAGAAGCACCAAGAAGAGGGAGAUGAGCUACAUUUUCCCUCUAAACGUGUUCUUCACAGCUUCAGAUAAACCCAAGUCCACUUGUGGCCAGCACUGCACAAGAGAUCUCCUUUGUUCAGUUGAAGGAGAAGCCGCCCAAACGAAAAAUGAAAUAGAAAUCCAAGAAGGAGCUCAAAGAUUUUUGCUCUCAGUGGUGAGGAUUCUAUUGAAGUUGUUGUGCACCAGUGUCCUUAAACAGAGCACAGAUAAGCAUCUGACAUACGAAUGCUGCUAUCAGGCUGGGAGGUGCCCUGACAACUCCUGUCCCAGUGCUGAGCCACAAGCAAGGUCAGCUCUGGUUUUAUCAAUGGCAAUGUACAACUGCUAGGAAUCUUGAUGUGUGGUGUUUUUCUUUUAUUGUACUUUUUUUUUUAAAUUUAUUUUUGAGUUGUACAAACAAAGGCAUUGGAGUCAAGUUUUGCUUAAAGUUUGCUGUCAUUCUGUGUCUCUUCAUUUUAGUUCUGUGCUGGACUUCUACAACCAGUGUCAUUGAUAACCUUGUUAUUUCCCAGUCUCACAUCUGCUUAUCUGCGUAGGUUUGCUGAAUGCUCGCUUCCUCAACAAAGGGAGUGUCAUUGGGUGUAUCUCAGUGGAACAGAAUGGAUUUUAAUCAACUGCUGAGAAAAUGAGAUAUUACGCUGGGACGAGAAUAGCUGCUUGAUAGAAACUUCUCUUUAAAAGUAUAAUUCUUCAGCAUUCAGUUUUGUUUCCGUUGUCAAGUACUGCAUAAAAAUGACAUUAAAAACAUAUCCAACUUUGAGUAUUUUUGUCAGAACAUAAAAGGAAAGACUCAUGCCAGCAAGCAAGAGGCUUCUUGAUGUGUUCUCUGAGUUGCAAAUAGAAAUGAGUACACUGAAAGCAUUGUAAACUGAGUGUGAGCAAGACCCGCAACGAUGGUUUAUGUUCCUGGUAUUUACUGUGUUAGCGUUUAACAAGAAACUGGAAGAACUCAGGCUAGCUUCAUGGGAAGCAGCCGAAGAAGGAUGAACUACUACAUGGAGCUUUUUAAUGGGAUUCAGUACACCUACAAAAGAGGAGGAAGUGAACAGCUUUGAUGCACAAAGGUGUCGGUUGCAAACCAACGGCCAGCAAAAAGGUGGGAAGCGGCAGAAUGUCAGCAUUUGAUAAAUUGUAAGGAAAAGUUUUCUAACAUAGACAUCCUCUCUUAGAGGAACAGCAUGGACAGGAAAAAUGGUGGUGCUAAAAUGAGCUGUAAAGGCUCACUGUGCUGAAGGAGGUAUGCACUGAGCUCAGCAGUGUGCUGGCUGUAUUCAGACAACCUUUCCUUGCUUUUUGUCUUCCUAUAUAAACACGCGGAAAAAAACUUGAGAUCUGAACGACAGACUCAAUUGCCUAUCAGAGGGUGGCUGAAGUGUUUGAAGUGCUGGCUGAUCUUCCUCAAACCCUGUGGACUUAAGUGCACCAGGAAUACUAACAACAUCUAGAAGAUAAAUGGUGAGUGUGGCCUGAGGUGGUGUGAAGCAAGGUGCUGGGCGUUCCCUGCUGAGAAGGGUUUUGCUACUGCGUGGCCCUUUGCCCCCAUUGAUUCCAGCCAGGAAACAGUGCAAAGCAUUGCAUUUAAGCAGACUUAAGCCAAUGUGUGAUUGCAGCUAGCAAAGUCCUGCCAGGACCAGGGGAGCCAAAACUCUUCUGCACUGAAGAUACUGAAACAGCAGCAACGUUCAUUUCACCCUUCACAGAGUUCAUCAUUACUGUACAUGUAUUCCCUCAGCAGGGGAAAAUAGCAGCCAAAAGUAAAAUAAUUGUUUCUCCUUGUGGAGGAAUGCUCCUAGAAAUGGCCCUAGAGACUAUUCUAAGCAAGCCCAAUUUUUUCAGCCUUAUCUAAGAAUAGUACCAUCUGCUUUCAUCACAUAAUUUACACAACGCUUAACAAAAGACAAAGCAUAAUAAAACCUUCUAGCCCCCUCCUCGGGAGCAGUGCCUUUGAAAGAGGACUGGGGACCCAACUUGUCCAAUUUGGUUUGGGAUUAUCACUCUAACAUUGGAAAUCCUCUGUACAAGGAAGCAAUGUACAGUGGUGUAAAUAGCAGAAGUUACUUGUGUUUUUUUUUUCUUGUUGCCCCUUACCUAAAAGUAUUUUUCAUUUAAGAGGAGAAACACAUAUAAAUUAAAAAAUAUAUAUAUGGAUGUAAAGUUGGGUCAUUUUUUGAUUUGGGAUAGCAAUAUAUUAUUAUUUGUUGCAUACUUCUGAAGUAAAAAUUGAUUUCAGUGUGAAGUGUACAAAUCCUUGAACAGAUAGCAAACUUCAGAGUUUUGUGCAGGAGAUAAAGUAUCACAUUGAAAUUGAUUAUACCUACCUACAGGACACAGAGAUUGAAAGGAAAAUGAGCAGAAAGGUCAUGGAAGAUAGCAAAAGAGAUUUGGACUGUACACAGAUUGAUGGCAAAGGUUUUGUAAGAGCAUAAAUGCAAAAUGUAUGAAUAAUGUCCUGACCUCUUAUCUCAGGUAAAACACUGAAAGAUUUGCCUACAAAUGUACAACUGUAGCCAGUUAUUUCGGUGAUGAAUGCUUUGUAUUUGAGCUGGCUCACAGAAACUGUGCCCUCCUGUAUCUCAUGUGGCUUUGGUGGGUUAUCAUGAGGAAAGUGAAGCCAUCUGAAAGGACAGUGGAAAGGACACUUAGGUUCCAAAGCCCAAAUGUUGGCACUGUGCGCAAAAUCACAGCAUCUCAGAGGCAUCAGAGAGGUGAGCUGAAAUAGCUGGGAGCCCUGUGUGGGCACCUGGUCUGAGAAAUAAAUUCAGAAAUUAGGGAUCUGUGCUGGUUUUCUGGGCAGCAUGCAUGUGUUAACCUGCAUACAACAUAUCUAUCUGUUAGACUGGAGACCUGGUUGUGUGGUCCUUGCUUUGUGUAAUUGUUGGGUCUCAUGAAACCAAUAAAUGCCUACAAACCCCAUGUAUCAGUUCAGGCAUAGGAUGACUAUUUUUGGGUGGCAAUGGUUUUGGUGAAUGUAAUAAUGUUUAGUCAGUAUUAUAUAGUGGCCUUAAUCACUCAAAUGUGCAGCUGGUAAAACUUGUUACCAUGCACUUUCUCAUAACGUCAUCACAAUGUUAUGAGUACAGUCCUGUACUUGAGGAAUUGAGGUGGCUGGUGUUCUUGUUGCUAAUGUUUUGGGAGGAGGGAUGGUUAUGGGUCAGCUACCAGCUCAGCUAUGCUCAUUGCUUUCAUACCUGUGUCACUGGGACUUGAACACGUACGCACCAACUGAAAUAAUGAAACUUGGAAACAUAUUUUCCCGAGGUUUUGGCUUCCUCAUGCUUCUGAAGUGACAGCUGAAGCCCCAGGCUGGCAAAGUCAGCAGAGUGCUUUAGACAGACCUAUUUACCAGGAUGCGAAGGCAUUGUGAGAAACUCUCCACCUGGACCGCAGUCAAUACUGCCUGAUCCUUGCUGGCAUGUCCUCAGGGGCUGGUGAAAAGCCAAGGGAAAGUGGCAUACGGAGAAGAAGAAUGUGGCAUUCACGAGAGGCAAGAUGGAGCAUCCAGUCGAGGCAAGCUGCACUGGUUAGGUCGGUGUGUGCCGGACCUCGUCCUCAGCCCCACCAUCCCCAUCCCCAUGGGGAAACAGCAGGAUCCG
ensembl:lncRNA